CAUGAAGAUGAAUCUUGACAAUGAGAGCUUUUUUCAGAAUGGGAAUUGGCAGAAUGGCUACAGAGACCUCUUUCUGCACAUCAGAAGACCCACACAGAGGCCCCUCUGGAAGCUGCCAUCUCUUCCAAAGGAUCCCGCCUUGGCCAGCCUGAGGAGCCUCCUGAGGCAGAUGCACUCUCUCAACACAAAGUGUCUGCCAGCCUCCAGCCUCCACUUGAAUGGAGGCAAUUACCCCAAUGAGUGAUUUCCUCUGAGCUGGAAUAACCAACUGAAGGAACAGGCC
rnacentral:lncRNA from 1 species